rnacentral:rRNA from 1 species
AGUGAACGCUGGCGGUAGGCCUAACACAUGCAAGUCGAACGGCAGCACAGUAAGAGCUUGCUCUUACGGGUGGCGAGUGGCGGACGGGUGAGGAGUACAUCGGAAUCUACUUUUUCGUGGGGGAUAACGUAGGGAAACUUACGCUAAUACCGCAUACGACCUACGGGUGAAAGCAGGGGAUCUUCGGACCUUGCGCGAUUGAAUGAGCCGAUGUCGGAUUAGCUAGUUGGCGGGGUAAAGGCCCACCAAGGCGACGAUCCGUAGCUGGUCUGAGAGGAUGAUCAACCACACUGGAACUGAGACACGGUCCAGACUCCUACGGGAGGCAGCAGUGGGGAAUAUUGGACAAUGGGCGCAAGCCUGAUCCAGCCAUACCGCGUGGGUGAAGAAGGCCUUCGGGUUGUAAAGCCCUUUUGUUGGGAAAGAAAAGCAGCAGGUUAAUACCCCGCUGUUCUGACGGUACCCAAAGAAUAAGCACCGGCUAACUUCG